AGUUCGGAUUGUAGUCUGCAACCCGACUACAUGAAGCCGGAAUCGCUAGUAAUCGCGAAUCAGAAUGUCGCGGUGAAUACGUUCCCGGGUCUUGUACACACCGCCCGUCACACCAUGGGAGCCGGAAAUGCCCGAAGUCAGUGGCCCAACCUUAAAGGAGGGAGCUGCCGAAGGUGGAGCUGGUAACUGGGGUGAAGUCGUAACAAGGUAUC
rnacentral:rRNA from 1 species